CGCCCCGACUCAGAUGGUCCCAGGACACCAAGGAUGCCCGCCAUGAGGCCCCCCACCCUCCUCCUGCUGCUCUCGGGGGCGCUGGUCCUGACCCCCAGCUGGGCCAGCCCCCACUCCCUGAGAAAUUUCUACACCAGCGUGUCCUGGCCCGGCCGCGGGGAGCCCCGGUAUUUUGAAGUCGGCUACGUGGACGACACGCAGUUCGUGCGGUUCGACAGCGACGCCCUGAAUCAGAGGGUGGAGCUGCGGGCGCCUUGGAUGCAGCAGCCGUGGGUGGAGCAGGAGGACCCCGGGUAUUGGGAGGAGGAGGCGCUGUGGGUCAAGGCCAACGAACAGGUUUUCAGAGAGAACCUGUAGAUCGCCCUCGGCUACUACACCAGAGCGAGGACGGGUCUCACACCUACCAGUGCAUGAGAGGCUGCUACAUGAGACCCGAUGGGCGCCUACUCCGCGGUUACAGUCAGUGGGCCUAUGAUGGCGCCGGAAUACAUCGCCCUGAACAAGGACCUGACCUCCUGGACCGCGGCCGACAUGGCGGCUCAGAUCACCAGGCGCAAGUGGGAGGCGGCCGGUGUGGCAGAGCGUGAGAGGAGGUUCCUGGAGGGCACCUGCAUGGAGUGGCUCCUCAUUUACCUGGAAAAAGGGAUGGAGACCCUGCAGCGUGCAGACUCUCCAAAGGCUCACGUGACCCACCACCCCAUCUCUGCCCGUGAGGUCACCCUGAGGUGCUGGGCGCUGGGCUUCUACCCUGCGGACAUCAGCCUGACCUGGCAGUGUGACGGGGAGGACCAGACCCAGGACAGGGAGCUGGUGGAGACCAGGCCUGCGGGGGAUGGCACCUUCCAGAAGUGGGCGGCUGUGGGGGUGCCCUCUGGAGAGGAGCAGAGAUACACGUGCCAUGUGCAGCACGAGGGGCUGCCCGAGCCCCUGACCCUGAGAUGGGAGCCGCCUUCUCAGACCUUUAUCUUCAUCAUCAUGGGCAUCGUUGGGGGCCUGGUUCUGCUGGGAGCCAUGGCUGGAGCUGUGAUGUGGGGGAGGAGGCGCUCAGGUGGAAGUGGACGGAGCUACACUCAGGCUGCCAGCAGUGACAGCGGCCAGGGCUCUGAUGUGUCUUUCUCGGCUUCUAGAGCGUGAGGCAGCUGCCUUGUGGGGACUGAGUGUUGGAAGAUGUUCACGCUCCCACUUCCUGACUCAAGAAUCUCUGAUUGGGGGGCUGGCCUGCUCUGCUCCCCACACUUUUCUGUCAGCAGAGGCGGGCUGGGCCCUCCCCAUCCCUUCCUUAACUCCCUGGUGCUCUGAGCUGCAACUUCUUGUUUCGUAUUGAAAUGAGACUGUGUAUUGACCUGGUUUUUUAAUUCUUGCUUUGACUGGUGACGGGUAAUUAAAGGAGACCCUUUAAUUAAUUAUUUUCUCAGAGGAAAUAAAUGUGAGCACCAAGGAUUCUGCG